GCCUAACUAGAAGAAGAAAGCAGAAAAUGUCAAGAGAGCACCAUAGCUGGAGGCUGGAUAGCUGUGCUGAACUCAGUCACUGCCACUUUGGAGACAGAAUGGGAUUUCCUAGUACAACCCCUGACAUCUGUCACUUUCUACAGUGCACUCUUAUUUUCUCCUAACAGAUGUGGAACCAGCUUUCAUCUUCAACCAGCAUGUGGCUGGACAUACUAUACAAGACUGUUGUUCAUCCAUCCUUUCUGUUUCUCUCCUUCUUUUUCUUUCUUCCAGUGUAGAUGAUUGCUUUUAUGUUUAAGUUAAACAUUGUGCUUGGGAGCAUCAACAGAACAAUGGUUUGGUAAGUAUUUUGUACCCUUGAUUUAAUUGCUCAGGUCUCUAUGUUCAGAUGGGCAGUGGAGCAUAUGCGAUGGGAGUAGGUAUGCUGUGGGCCUUGUAGAUAGUGGCCCAUCAUAGGCUCAAAUAGCUAAAGACUAAGGUCUCUGGCAACUAAUCAUGUUUGCUGAGGUAAACUAAUACAUGCUAAUUAACUUGUUUCAGAAGAAGUACAAAUAAAUAAUGAAGCAUGUAAUGUAAGGCCAACAUAAUAUACUAAAAUAAUGAAGGAGACUAUUGUAGGUUUUACACCAAAGUUAAAUUUAUGUGUUCCUGCAAAAUGCUGUGUAUAUUUGCUCAUAGUAUCUUAAGCUGUCCUUUAGAGUUGGGUCACCUCGUCUUGUGCCAGAAAAACUGGAGUUACACUAGAGCUUGUUUGUCCUAGGAACUACCGCAAUUUGUUUUUUCUCCCUAACCCAGUGUGCAGGGGAUCCCUGCUGAACUUCUAGCCCCAGAAAUAAUUGCAGUUUGUGUAAAUGCACAACUGCACGUUUCAAAACCCCACUCAAAGAUCUGAUUCACUACAGAAAUAGUAGGUAAAUACUGUAGCAUCAGAGAGGCAGACUGUUUCAGCACGGCUGGCUGAUGAUGGAGCGCACCAAGUAUAAUUUGGAGACUCAGAAAGUGUCACUCAAAUAAGGAGAUCGGAGCCAAGAAGGUGAUUUAAAUGAUUGAUAACAUUAGGCAAAAAUAUAUUAAGCCAUUCUUAAUGGAUUUUCUCCUUUGAACCUAUAUUCAGCAUUAUCUGGCAAAUAGGUAGUACCGGUCGGAUGAAAAUACUAUGCAAGAGAGAUUCAUUAUGUGAGUUAUUUUUUUAUUUUAAAAUUGUCGUGAAGAUUGUGAUUGCGUGACUGGAAGUUUUUUUGGUGCUUAUAGACAAAGACUUUCAACAAGAACACAAAACGAAAUAAGUAUUAAAAUGUGUUCUUUUGUAGACAAGAACAGUGUGACGUAGUCUACACUCAUUGAACAACAGGUGUGCAUAACAAUUGAACAAAUACAGAAACUUAUCGUGGAUAAUGAAUAAGUUAUUUUAUUCUUUCUAGAGUAAUUGAUAAUAUUCUGUAUUUCUUCUGUACAGAGAACUCAAUAGAAAUGUUUAGUGAAUAAUUUAGAUUUUCACAUAA